CCUACGGGAGGCAGCAGUCGGGAAUAUUGCACAAUGGAGGAAACUCUGACGCAGUGACGCCGCGUGCGGGAAGAAGGUUUUCGGUUUGUAAACCUCUAUCAGCAGGGAAGAGAAACGCCAUUACUGGUAGACUAAGCUCCGGCUACAUACGUUCAGGCAGCCGCGGUAAUCCGUAGGGAGCAGUCGUUACCCGGAUUAAUUGGGUGUAAAGGGUGCGUAGACGGUGGAGCAAGUUAGUUGUGAAAGCCCUUGGCUUAACUGAGGAACUGCAACGAAAACUAAUUCCCUGGAGUACUGGAGAGGAAAGCGGAAUUCCUAGUGUAGCGGUGAAAUGCGUAGAUAUUAGGAGGAACACCAGUGGCGAAGGCGACUUGCUGGACAGUAACUGACGUUGAGGCACGAAAGUGUGGGGAGCAAACAGGAUUAGAUACCCUUGUAGUC
rnacentral:rRNA from 1 species